GGUUAGUUGUCCCUAGUUUUCCCAACAAGCUUUAAUGCCAGUUCUGCUGCUGAAAAUUCUUGAUUGAUAGAGCUGUUAUAACUCUAAGCCAUUU
rfam:Populus trichocarpa isolate Nisqually-1 chromosome 19, whole genome shotgun sequence.